ACCUCGAUGGCACUUCUAUACCGACGAAUGCUGAAGACACACCAUGGAAGGAACGUGAUGGUCUCGUCAAGAUGUGGAUCUAUGGUACCAUCUCCUCUUCUCUCCUCGAUACAGUCCUCAAAACUCGCUGCUCUGCUCGUGAUCUAUGGGUCACUAUUGAGAAUCUUUUCCGCGAAAACAAAGAGGCCCGUGCUAUUCAACUUGAAAACGAACUUCGAUCUCUCACCAUUGGCGAUAUGUCAGUCCAUGAGUACUGCCAAAAACUCAAGACUACCACGGAUCUCCUCGCCAACAUAAACUCUCCUGUUACAGAUAGAGCUGUGGUCAUGCACAUGUUGAACGUCUCUCGGAAAAGUUCGAUAACAUUCACAACGUUAUCAAACACAGAUCACCGUUUCCAUCCUUUUCUGUUGCUCGCUCGAUGCUGAUCAUGGAGGAGGAUCGGAUUAACAAACAUACCUAGAGCACUUCACCUCAAGUCCUGCACGCUGGCACUACGCAAGGUAACGUCCCACCUGGACAAACCUCUAACUACGUCAACAACCGUGGAGACCAGCACCAAGGCAAGGGUUUUGCUAAGUAACAGUUUCUAAUUGAUGUACCAGAUUUGUUGUGAACCUGUGUUGUUCAUGCAGACUAUCAAAGAUGAACAAGAAGAAACAAGAGGUGAUGAAGAGAGGGAUUCAGGUUUGUUCCUCUCGUUUUUGAACUUCUUCUCUGUUCUUACAACUCCUCAAUAUCAGUCAUGUUUUCUUUUCAUAUUAGCUCGGAGAAGCUGUGUAUGAAUACGCAAAGGGUGACUACAAACAGGCUCUAGAACUGCUAGGUUCAGAUUUUAACGCCUUUAAUUUGGUUACAAGGUAAAAUAAAUCUACAUCUAGUAACUCAAAAACUCUCUGGAUCAAACACAAUUGAUUCUGUUUGAUGGUUGAUAAUAGAUCAUUGGAGCAUCAGAUGAACAGAUUGAUGUCUUCAACGAAAUGUGGUGCCAGCUGUUGCUAAAGAUAGGCCAAUCCUCAACUGGUACGGCUUGUUGUAGAAUCUUAAAAACAGUAAUUACUUGUUUAGUAUAUAUAACUAUGAACGCUUUUGGCUCUGAUGUUAUGCAAGCCAAAGGAGUGAUAAAAGAGAGGAUCAAGGUCAGAGAUGGUGUUCCUUUCACGUGGCGUUUACUGGAGAAGAGUUGUGACAUGGAAGGCAAUGCAGAGGCUGAGAGUGCAGGAGAGAGAGCUAAGAAGCUGGAAUCUUCUUAUUUUUAACUAUGCUGUUGCUUCUUGAUAAUAACUUAAUAUGGUGUUUACACGUUUCUAAGAUGAAGGGUAAAAUCCCUUGGAAUAAGUGUGGUGUACAUACUGUUUUAAAAGUAAAGAAGAAAGACUUUUACUUGUGGCUUUAAGUUUUCUGUAAAUCCAUAUGUGAUCUGUAUAUAUAUAUUAUAGCUUAAAAGAUCUAUCUUAUGGCCACAAUCUGCAAUUCUA